UUUUCAUGGUUUUAUUUUCGGUAAUCGUGGAAACUAGAUUUAAAUAAAGAUAUUGGUACGGCUUCUUGUCCUCGUUCGUAAUUCCCGUACUCUCUAUUCUCUAUAUAGAACUCACGCACGCACAAAUACCAUCUCGUUUAUACUUAGGGUUCAUAGUACUGUUAUACCGCCCCUGAUUGCAUACUGAAACGCAUGCAAUGCGCAGAGUAUCCACAAGUAUCGUGGCCAGCGUUUGCUGCGUUAGCCAUUUAGUAGUACAUGGCACUAGCAUAGAAUGUGAAAUUUCUCUAAAUAUUUUUACAAAUUUGUUUCUUAAAUUUUGCUGUAAAAGUUACACGGAGAAACCUAACAGACCUUACGAGUUUAUUAAAUUUUUGGCGGAACUCUUCGAUUUUUCGUCAUAUCCUAUUCCUUAUUGUAUUAGUCUACCAUCGUGUGUACAGAAAUUAGGGCGUGAAGAGUGUUUUACAGGCAUUAAACCUAUACUUCUAAAAUUUUCUUAAAUAAUAAUAUGAAAUAACAUCAAACAUGACUAGCUCAGAAAUAAUUCGGCACACCUCUAAUUAUUCCUUGGAAAUUAUACGAGUAUUCAUGAAUAUUUUAUAAACAUAGUGAUUUGUAAUCUAAAGUUAUAGUAAUGGUAUUGACCAAUAAUUUUAAUGUAACUAAUGAAAACCAGGUUUUGUAUGGACCUAAUACAGAAAGAAUAAAAAAUGUCUAGAAAGCGUGCUAGAGAAGAAACUAUGUUGAAUUCUACAACUUAUUUAAAUAUUCAAAAUGGAGAGGAUGCAUCUUGCUCCAAGAAAGAUUCGCCUGUUUAUCCUCUAGUGACAAUGACUUGGGGGACCAACAGGAAUUCAAAUAAUGAGUCAGGUCAAUUUUCGCUGAAAAAGUAUAAUAGCGAAAUUUCUGUUUCCCACAAAGAACUUCCAUCAAUUUGUAAGGAGGCUCCCUUUAGUGAUGAUCCAGAAGCACUUGCCGAAAGAAAUGCAUGUGAUUAUAAUAUUCGUAUUACAUUGAAAAUGGCGAGAAGUAGUAAAGCUCCUAGGAAAAUCAGAGUCUAUGCAGAUGGUAUUUAUGACCUAUUUCAUCAAGGACAUGCACGACAACUUUUACAAGCAAAAAAUAUUUUCCCUAAUGUGUAUCUUAUUGUGGGAGUUUGUAAUGAUCAGUUAACACAUAGUAAAAAGGGAAGGACAGUUAUGACAGAUGUUGAGAGAUAUGAUGCAGUAAGACAUUGUCGUUAUGUAGAUGAGGUGGUUAGGGAUGCACCUUGGGAACUGGAUGAUGAAUUUCUUACAAAACAUAAAGUAAAAUUAACUAUUGACUUUGUUGCUCAUGAUGAUAUACCUUAUAUGACAGAUGAUAGUACAGAUGUUUAUGCAGGCCUGAAAGCUAAAGGUAUGUUUGUGGCUACGCAAAGAACAGAAGGAGUAUCAACGUCAGAUAUUGUUGCAAGAAUAGUUAAAGAUUAUGACAUUUAUGUAAGAAGAAAUCUUGCGCGAGGCUACAGUGCCAAAGAACUUAAUGUUUCUUUUCUCAAUGAAAAGAAAUUCCGCUUACAAAAUAAGUUUGAUGAUUUAAAAGAUAAAGGUAAACGGGUGAUGGAGAAUAUUGGCGAAAAACGUAUGGAUAUGAUUAGCAAAUGGGAAGAAAAGUCUCGGGACUUUAUUGAUGCUUUUCUACUCUUGUUUGGAAGAGAAGGUAGAUUGUCAACGAUUUGGAAUGAAAGCAAAGGACGUUUGAUGCAAGCAUUAUCUCCUCCUGCAAGCCCAAAAAGAGAUGGUAGUCCGAAUGGCAGUAAUAGCAGCAAUAAUGAUGAAGAUCAGACAAGGUACAUCACAGCAUUCGAGUCAAUUGACUAACAUGCAACACCACUUCAUUCUGUACUGCUUCUAUAUGAAAACCUUCAAUACUUCAUACCAUCCAUUUGCAGCAUGUUAUUCCACCACCAAAAAAGACUGGCCGUUUUGAAUAUUCACAGAGUAACUAUUAUUUAAGCGAUGAUUACAGCGAUGAUGAAGAAGAAAAUUUGCAAUCCAAAUGAUAAUCCUUUUUUUCAAAAACACAUUCUUUAUUUUGACCAAAAAUAUCGUGCAAUCUCCCAAAAAAUGUUUAAGGAUAUUUUAUUGCGUCUAUGUGAUUUGAAGAUAUGGAUUAUAAUAUUAUGCUUAAUAGUAUUUUUAUGGUAUGAUUUCAUACUAUAUACGAUAUAAAAUUAUCUGUUAUAAUGUUUUCAUUCAAUCCAGCCAUGGAUUAUUAUAUAUUAAUUAAAUUAUAUAUAUGCACGAAUAUUGAGAAAUCAUACAGAUAACUUAAAACAUUCGUUGCAACUAUUCUUGAGAGUUUCGUUAUUGUUGUAUUAUUAGUAAGUUCCUAUAUUCUGAACGAUACUUCAUCAUUCAUUUUGAGUUUCAUGCUAUAUAAGAACUACUAACAGUCAAAAGACAUAUUUUCACCUCGUGCAAAAAAAUAUGUGGUUCAAAUAUUCUGUCAACAAUUUUUAAUAAUUUUCAAUUGUUUUGUUACUAAUUUUAUAUAACAUUUUUUAUACAUGUUACCUCAUAAUUAAUUACUUAUGUACUAUACAUUUGCAGUGAGUACCUUCGCUGUAAUUAGUAUUAAAUCAUAUUUUUAUUGAACA